GGGGAUUUAGCUCAGUGGUAGAGCGCUUGCCUAGCAAGUGCAAGGCCCUGGGUUCGAUGCCCAGCUCCG
rnacentral:tRNA from 1 species